UUGCAGUGUAAUAUAUUUUCGGCAAUAAUACACUAGUGUAAUACCGGUAGACGUAUGACGUCAUAAUGAUACGCUAAGCUCAGAGAGUCAUCACACUGUAGGC